rnacentral:lncRNA from 1 species
UGAGGCUAAGAUGGUCAGGAUGUGGCGAGGUCGGCUUUUACGGUGGUUUGAUUCAGAUUGACGUUUUUCCCCUUUGUUCGAUCUGGAUCUAGCCGGAGCUUGCUGGCGCGUGCUUCACUGAUUCGGCUCUCCUGACACAGAUCUGUUCGGUUCUUUGUCUGUGUGGUGCGGUGGUGGCGGCUCUGUCUCCUCCGCCUUGGCGUCUUGGUGCAGGAGGAGUCUUUCUACUCCGCUCAGCUCGGACUUCGACGGUAGUUUACCUUCAAGGCGUGCGUCGGUCUCGCUUCCUCCGGCGGUGUCGUUUGAAGUAUCCGACGGUGCGUGUAAAGUAGCAAGCUUGGUGGCGCGUGGAGUUGUCUGCGCUUUGGCGUCACUUCUUGGUACUUUGCUCCGGUCUUCGCCUUUCAGUUCAUUGCCUUGUCUGGUGGUUUCUCUUCUAGGUGAAGAGUUCUUGGGUAUUGUUCUUCAUGGUUAGUGUGGCCAACGUCGCACCGUUGGCUACGGUUUUGAGUGAAGAACCUCCCUCUUGUUCUAAGAGGUGGAGUGCGUGGACAUUAGUGGUGCUUCGUGAGUUUUCGGAGUCUUCCUCUCUGUCCGUGGCGAUGCACUUGGAGUGUUGUCCUUCCCAGUAUCGGAGUCUGUCCUUGCAAGCUUCGGUAGGAUGCCUUCUUUCUUCUUACUGCAGGUACCGCUUCGACGAGACAAGGCAGCUACAGUUCAACCGGUCUUGUUAGGUGUUGAGUGCUCAUGCCAUGGCGUCCAGUACGGUUGGUUCAGCUAUGAACUCUCGGGUCUAUUCACUCAACUAUACGCUUAAUUCAGCAGAGAUUGCGAGCGUGAGGAGAUCAUCAAGAUCCAGCUACUCUGUUGAUGGCAUAAGAUGAACCGGCAACCAAGGAAACUUGGUGAACGCUACCCUCGAAUGCUUUCUAUCAACGGUUGAGAACGGGGAUUGAUAGUCUAAGGAUAACUGAACUAUUUAGCGGAUUGCGCCGGUUUAGAGGUGGUCGAGCGAAGCUAAAGAUGUUUAGUUAGAUGUAGAUUUUUGUUCAAAUCAUGUUUGUAAUCAAAGUUUGAAUUGUCCGUAUUAGGUUUUGAUGUUUAGUUUAAUUUCCGUAAUCCGCUACUAGUUGUCUUUGUAAUUUCUGUCACAAACUUGAAAACUUGGUAUAAUAUUUAACACUUUACCAAAAAAAAAAAAAAAACCCUACCUAACCCUAAACCCUACUAACCCUAAACCCUACCUAAUUCUAAACCUAUCUAACCCUAAACCCUAUCUAACCCUAAACCUUUUUUAGCCCUAAACCCUACCUAACCCUAAACCCUACUAACCCUAAACUCUACCUAACCCUAAACCCUACCUAUUUCUAAACCCUAUCUAACCCUAAACCCUAUCUAGCCCUAAACCCUACCUACCCUAAACCCUACCUAGCUCUAAACCCUACUAACCCUAAACCCUACCUAACCCUAAACCCUACCUAACCCUAAACCCUAACUAACCCUAAACUACUUCUAACCCUAAACUUGACAUAACCCUAAACCCUGCCUAACCCUAAACCCUAUAAUCCAAAGCAUUAUUCUAAACCAAACUCUAAACUCUACUUACCCUAAACCCUACCUAACCCUAAACCCUACCUAAUUCUAAACCUAUCUAACCUUAAACCCUACCUAACCCUAAACACUACUAACCCUAAACCCUACCUAAUUCUAAACCUAUCUAACCCUAAACCCUACCUAACCCAAAACCCUUUCUAGCCCUAAACCCUACCUAACCCUAAACCCUACUAACCCUAAACCCUACCUAACCCUAAACCCUACCUAACCCUACUAACCCUACUAACCCUAAACCCAACUAACCCUAAACCCGACCUAACCCUACCUAACCCUACUAACCCUAUCUAACCCUAAACCCUACCUAGCCCUAAACCCUACUAACCCUAAACCCUAUCUAACCCUAAACCCUACCUAACCCUAAACCCUACCUAACCCUAAACCCUUCUAACCCUAAACCUGACAUAACCCUAAACCCUGCCUAAACCUAAACCCUGCCUAACCCUAAACCCUACUUAACCCUAAACCCUUUCUAACCCUAAACCCUGCUAACCCUAAACCCUACCUAAUUCUAAACCCUACCUAACCCUAACCCUAAACCCUUCCUAACCCUAAACCCUGCCUAAUUCUAAACCCUAAACCCUAAACCCUAAACCCUAAACCCUAAACCUAAACCUAACCCUAAACCCUACCUAACCCUAAACCCCUUCUAACCCUAAACCUGACAUAACCCUAAACCCUGCCUAACCCUAAACCUGACCUAACCCUAAACCCUGUCUAACCCUAAAUCCUACGUAACCCUAAACCCUUUCUAACUCUAAACCCUGCUAACCCUAAACCCUACCUAAUUCUAAACCCUACCUAACCCUAACCCUAAACCCUUCCUAACCCUAAACCCUGCCUAUUUCUAAACCCAACAUAACCCUAAAACCUAAACCCUAAACCCUACCUAGCCUAAACCCUACCUAACCUUAGAACCUUUCUAACCCUAAACCCUACUAACCCUAAACCCUAUUAACCUUAAACCCUACCUAACCCUAAACCCUACUAACUCUAAACCAUACCUAAUUUUAAACCCUACCUAACCCUAACCCCUUCCUAACCCUAAACCCUACCUACCCUAAACCCUACCUAACCCUAGACCCUAUAUAUCCCUAAACCCUACUAACCCUAAACCCUACCUAACCUUAAACCCUACCUAACCCUAAACUCUACCUAACCCUAAACCCUACCUACCCUAAACCCUAUUUAACCCUAAACCCUACCUAACCCUAAACCCUUUCUAAACCUAAACCCUUCCUAACCCUAAACCCUGCCUAACCCUAAAACCCUACCUAACCCUAAACCCUUUCUAACCCUAAACCCCGCUAACCCUAAACCCUUCCUAAGCCUAACCUUAAAACCCUACCUAAACCUAACCCUAAACUCUACCUAACCCUAAACUCUACCUACCCUAAACCCUACUUAACCCUAAACCCUAAAUCCAACCCUAAAACCCCUACAUAACCCUAAACCCUUUCUAACCCUAAACCCUAAACCCUACCUAACCCUAAACCCUGUUAACCCUAAACCCUUCCUAAACCUAACCCUAAAACCCUACCUAAACCUAACCAUAAAUCCUAUCUAACCCUAAAACUCUACCAACCCUAAACACUAAAAAAUAAUCUCAAAACUUAAAGCUAAAAAAACCUAAACUCUUACCGC